GACGAACGCUGGCGGCGUGCCUAAUACAUGCAAGUAGAACGCUGAAGGAGGAGCUUGCUUCUCUGGAUGAGUUGCGAACGGGUGAGUAACGCGUAGGUAACCUGCCUGGUAGCGGGGGAUAACUAUUGGAAACGAUAGCUAAUACCGCAUAAUAUUGACUAUUGCAUGAUAGUCAGUUGAAAGGUGCAACUGCACCACUACCAGAUGGACCUGCGUUGUAUUAGCUAGUUGGUGGGGUAACGGCUCACCAAGGCGACGAUACAUAGCUGACCUGAGAGGGGGAUCGGCCACACUGGGACGGAGACACGGCCCAGACUCCUACGGGAGGCAGCAGUAGGGAAUCUUCGGCAAUGGACGGAAGUCUGACCGAGCAACGCCGCGUGAGUGAAGAAGGUUUUCGGAUCGUAAAGCUCUGUUGUAAGAGAAGAACGAGUGUGAGAGUGGAAAGCUCACACUGUGACGGUAUCUUACCAGAAAGGGACGGCUAACUACGUG
rnacentral:rRNA from 1 species